CCUACGGGUGGCAGCAGUGGGGAAUAUUGGGCAAUGGGCGCAAGCCUUACCCAGCAAUACCGCGUGAGUGAAGAAGGUCUUCGGAUUGUAAAGCUCUUUGAUCAGGGACGAACAGAUGACGGUACUUGAAGAAAAAGCAUCGGCUAACUCCGUGCCAGCAGCCGCGGUAAUACGGAGGAUGCGAGCGUUAUCCGGAUUUAUUGGGUUUAAAGGGUGCGUAGGCGGGCUGUUAAGUCAGCGGUAAAAGCCCGGGGCUCAACCCCGGCGAGCCGUUGAAACUGGCUGUCUUGAGAUGUCGAGAGGUAUGCGGAAUGCGCAGUGUAGCGGUGAAAUGCU
rnacentral:rRNA from 1 species